rnacentral:rRNA from 1 species
CGUGCCUAAUACAUGCAAGUCGAACGCAUUGUGGUUGAAAUGAUAUGAAGAACUUGUUCAGAUUUGAUUUUCAACAUUGCAAUGAGUGGCGAACGGGUGAGUAACACGUGGGAAACCUACCUCUUAGCAGGGGAUAACAUUUGGAAACAAAUGCUAAUACCGUAUAAUAAUUAAAACCGCAUGGUUUUAGUUUAAAAGAUGGUCUUGCUAUCACUAAGAGAUGGUCCCGCGGUGUAUUAGUUAGUUGGUGAGGUAAUGGCUCACCAAGACAAUGAUACAUAGCCGAGUUGAGAGACUGACCGGCCACAAUGGGACUGAGACACGGCCCAUACUCCUACGGGAGGCAGCAGUAGGGAAUCUUCCACAAUGGACGAAAGUCUGAUGGAGCAACGCCGCGUGUGUGAUGAAGGGUUUCGGCUCGUAAAACACUAUUGUAAGAGAAGAAUGACAUUGAGAGUAACUGUUCAAUGUGUGACGGUAUCUUACCAGAAAGGAACGGCUAAAUACGUG